ensembl:lncRNA
GCUAUAUUCUGCAUAUGGCCUUUUUUUAAACCUUGUAUUACUUUUAAAAAAUGAUCUAAAAUUGUCCAGGAGAUUCCCUGAACAGAGGGAGAGACCUCCGAGGCCAGAAAAACGGAAGUCCAUGUGGAGCCGAUUUACCAGGAGAGCACAGGACGAUCACGUUGGAUGGCAAAAUGAGAGGUCACCAAGGAAGUCAUUCUGGAGCAGAUUUUCAAGACACCAGGGCAACACUGCGAACAUCAGCGUUGGCUAUUUAAGCAACACCAACGCUGUAAUCUGUGACCCUCAUGUUGACAAACCACGCUUUCCAUCCCCUAAGGAUCACCGGAGGCGGCCUCACCCUUAACAGGCUUGGUUAGUAUAGUGCUGUUGUGUGGAUUUCCAAAUGCAGUUCUUCAGGGAUGUCUCGGGAAACACAACAUGCUUCUAUGAGUAUGUUUCUGUCAUUUUAUAUUCAGUGCAUGUGGGGUGGAGAGAUGGUGCAUUUAAACUUCAUUUAGCUUCAUUUCAAUCAGGAAAGACUCAAAAGAAGGAAAGGCUUCGUGAUGUAUUGUACGCGGUGUGGACAGUGAGGUAAAGAUAUGAGGAGUCCUUAGUAACUAGACCUCAUGUUAAGGGCUUAGUGAUGCCAUGAGCUGUACAGGUUUAACAAAGGGAGGAAGGGCCUCUGUCAGCUUAUGUGAUGUGUUACGAGCAGGAAGAGAGAGAGAGAAUGUAAAUAGAUUGCAAUGGCUGAGAUUUCUGCCCUGAUUCAGCUUCAGCAAAGCUUCAUUUAAACAUUUACUUCAUGCUUUGAAGCAUGCAAAAUGCCAAUAAUGUGCUGCCAUGAUACUGAAUUUGCAUCAAAUAUAUGAUAAUAAACAUGAUUUUUUUUCUCAUUUUACCUCAGUUGUUGGUGUUGUUCGGCAGUAGCUCUUUACAAGGCUUAAAUGUACAACUACAAUCAAUGUUAAAACAAGAGAACUCACACCUUUAGGCUUCUGGGAAAUGUAUUUUUUUUUACAUGGUAUCUAUAUUUUCACUAACACUCAAUGAUAGGUGACUUUCCAUUAGAAGCUUUAAAAGCAUCUCCAAAAAGAAAA